CUAAGCUGUGCAGUGUGAGAGUCUGUGUUGUUUAAGUCAGAAAAAAUACUAGACAUGAACUGGAAACGAACCCUUUUCCAAAUAUGCUUACUGUUUAUCAUCCAACUUCUAAGCUGGAAGUAGUGAAGUGAGUAAUAAAGACUGAACUUCAGUUUUUCUGCCGAGCACUGUUAGAGCUACCUCGUUAGCCUUGUCAGCCCUUAUUGGCUGUUGGUUUCCUGAAAGUUCAUCUCGUUCUCCGUUCAGCUGAAGUGCCCCACAUGUCCAGACUGAGAGCCACUAUAUUGUUGUCCCAAACGUGUGGCAUUGAGAUCGGUCAAGUUUUUUUUCUAUGCUGGAUUGUUCCUGAGGUGGAUUCCUCCUGUGGAUUUGAUGGCGAGCCUUCCCACCUGGACUUAGAGAAAGAACUCGAUUCCUUCUUUUCCAUUUGGAGUCCUGCUGCACCCUGCGGUUUGGCUCAUUGGUUCCAGUGAUCACAGUUCAACUCGGUGAACCUGCAACUUUGACAUGUCGUUUGCCAAACGAAUGGUUGGGUAUUAAAAGUCUCCACUGGUACAAGCAGAGCGCAGGUGAUACUCUGAAAGUGAUUACAAUGCUGCGUAAAAAUACCGGCCCCAUGUAUGGACCGGGGGUGCCGGCCUCAAGACUGAAGACAACAUAUUAUGAGAAAAUCACCAAUCUGACGAUUCUGAAUACAACUAAAGAAGACGAGGGAAUCUAUCACUGUGCAAUCCUUGACUGGACUGAGAAUACCUGGAGAGGGAUCUAUUUGUCAAUAAAAGGGAACGAUGACAGAACAAUGAACUACACAAUUGUGCAGCGGUCACAACCAGCAAAUACAGCCAGACUGGGAGAUUCUGCAACUCUGGAGUGUUCAGUUCUCUCUCACUCUAAGAACAGGUCUUGUCCAGGAGGCCUCAGUGUGUUCUGGUUCAGAGCCAGAUCACAGAAAUCUCUCCCUGAAAUCAUUUUCACGG